AGGGUUGUAGUUAAUUAUAACAUUUGAUUUGCAUUCAAAAAGUACUAUGCUUUAGUCUUCCUU
rnacentral:tRNA from 1 species